UGGUUCGUUGUUGAUGUACUGGCAGCUUUACCAUUCGACCAUUUAUAUGCAUCAGACUUGUAUAACGGAGAAGAGUCUCAUAUUCAUUUGGUGAAACUUACUCGCCUAUUACGUUUAGCACGGUUACUACAGAAAAUGGACAGAUAUUCCCAAUAUACCGCAAUGAUUCUAACGUUGUUAAUGCUGUUGUUCUCACUUGUAGCUCACUGGUUAGCCUGCAUCUGGUAUGUCAUCGCCGAAAAGGAAAAUAUGUUUAAUGAACCUGGAUGGGAUAUAGGGUGGAUGCACGCACUAGCUGAACGUUUAAAAAUUCCAGCAUCGAAUAUAUCAAACGCAGAAGCUUAUUCCACAGCACUUUAUUUUACAUUCACAAGUCUAACAUCUGUUGGAUUUGGCAACGUUUCUGCGAACACAACUGCCGAAAAAGUAUUUUCUAUAAUAAUGAUGUUAA